rnacentral:rRNA from 1 species
UGUAGUGUUGAUGUUCUAACGUCGACCCCUUAUCGGGGUUGCGGACAGUGCCUGGUGGGUAGUUUGACUGGGGCGGUCUCCUCCCAAAGAGUAACGGAGGAGCACGAAGGUGGGCUAAUCACGGUUGGACAUCGUGAGGUUAGUGCAAUGGCAUAAGCCCGCUUGACUGCGAGAAUGACAAUUCGAGCAGGUGCGAAAGCAGGUCAUAGUGAUCCGGUGGUUCUGAAUGGAAGGGCCAUCGCUCAACGGAUAAAAGGUACUCCGGGGAUAACAGGCUGAUACCGCCCAAGAGUUCAUAUCGACGGCGGUGUUUGGCACCUCGAUGUCGGCUCAUCACAUCCUGGGGCUGAAGUCGGUCCCAAGGGUAUGGCUGUUCGCCAUUUAAAGUGGUACGCGAGCUGGGUUUAGAACGUCGUGAGACAGUUCGGUCCCUAUCUGCCGUGGGCGUUGGAAGAUUGAAGGGGGCUGCUCCUAGUACGAGAGGACCGGAGUGGACGAACCUCUGGUGUUCGGGUUGUGUCGCCAGACGCAUUGCCCGGUAGCUAAGUUCGGAAUCGAUAACCGCUGAAAGCAUCUAAGCGGGAAGCGAGCCCUGAGAUGAGUCUUCCCUGAUACUUUAAGUAUCCUAAAGGGUUGUCGGAGACUACGACGUUGAUAGGUCAGGUGUGUAAGUGCUGUGAGGCAUUGAGCUAACUGAUACUAAUUGCCCGUGAGGCUUAACCAUACAACACCCAAGGGGUUU